GGUAUCAGAAGUGCGAAUGCUGACAUAAGUAACGAUAAAGCGGGUGAAAAGCCCGCUCGCCGGAAGACCAAGGGUUCCUGUCCAACGUUAAUCGGGGCAGGGUGAGUCGACCCCUAAGGCGAGGCCGAAAGGCGUAGUCGAUGGGAAACGGGUUAAUAUUCCCGUACUUGGUGUUACUGCGAAGGGGGGACGGAGAAGGCUAUGUUGGCCGGGCGACGGUUGUCCCGGUUUAAGCGUGUAGGUGUGUGUUCCAGGUAAAUCCGGUUCACUUUAACACUGAGGCGUGAUGACGAGGCACUACGGUGCUGAAGCAACAAAUGCCCUGCUUCCAGGAAAAGCCUCUAAGCAUCAGGUAACAUCAAAUCGUACCCCAAACCGACACAGGUGGUCAGGUAGAGAAUACCAAGGCGCUUGAGAGAACUCGGGUGAAGGAACUAGGCAAAAUGGUGCCGUAACUUCGGGAGAAGGCACGCUGACACGUAGGUGAAGUGAUUUACUCAUGGAGCUGAAGUCAGUCGAAGAUACCAGCUGGCUGCAACUGUUUAUUAAAAACACAGCACUGUGCAAACACGAAAGUGGACGUAUACGGUGUGACGCCUGCCCGGUGCCGGAAGGUUAAUUGAUGGGGUCAGCGCAAGCGAAGCUCCUGAUCGAAGCCCCGGUAAACGGCGGCCGUAACUAUAACGGUCCUAAGGUAGCGAAAUUCCUUGUCGGGUAAGUUCCGACCUGCACGAAUGGCGUAAUGAUGGCCAGGCUGUCUCCACCCGAGACUCAGUGAAAUUGAACUCGCUGUGAAGAUGCAGUGUACCCGCGGCAAGACGGAAAGACCCCGUGAACCUUUACUAUAGCUUGACACUGAACAUUGAGCCUUGAUGUGUAGGAUAGGUGGGAGGCUUUGAAGUGUGGACGCCAGUCUGCAUGGAGCCGACCUUGAAAUACCACCCUUUAAUGUUUGAUGUUCUAACGUGGACCCGUUACCCGGGUUGCGGACAGUGUCUGGUGGGUAGUUUGACUGGGGCGGUCUCCUCCUAAAGAGUAACGGAGGAGCACGAAGGUUGGCUAAUCCUGGUCGGACAUCAGGAGGUUAGUGCAAUGGCAUAAGCCAGCUUGACUGCGAGCGUGACGGCGCGAGCAGGUGCGAAAGCAGGUCAUAGUGAUCCGGUGGUUCUGAAUGGAAGGGCCAUCGCUCAACGGAUAAAAGGUACUCCGGGGAUAACAGGCUGAUACCGCCCAAGAGUUCAUAUCGACGGCGGUGUUUGGCACCUCGAUGUCGGCUCAUCACAUCCUGGGGCUGAAGUAGGUCCCAAGGGUAUGGCUGUUCGCCAUUUAAAGUGGUACGCGAGCUGGGUUUAGAACGUCGUGAGACAGUUCGGUCCCUAUCUGCCGUGGGCGCUGGAGAACUGAGGGGGGCUGCUCCUAGUACGAGAGGACCGGAGUGGACGCAUCACUGGUGUUCGGGUUGUCAUGCCAAUGGCACUGCCCGGUAGCUAAAUGCGGAAGAGAUAAGUGCUGAAAGCAUCUAAGCACGAAACUUGCCCCGAGAUGAGUUCU
rnacentral:rRNA from 1 species